ACUAGUUGAUGUUAUGAUGCAUCGUUGGUCCGGUGUACGACGGCGCCUGAUGCGAUUUAUGCGUCCGGAAGCCCUUUCAGCCUCCAGGCACGUCCCCACCUGCCUCACAGCCACCGACGCAUCUCACGGCGGGGUUCCAAUUGUGUGCGCAUAUGGAUGCUCCUUUCCCCGCCGCCUUUCUAGCAACUAGUUGAUGUGAUGAUGCAUCGUCGGUCCGGUGUACGAUGGCGCCUGAUGCGAUUUAUGCGUCCGGAAGCCCUUUCAGCCUCCAGGCAUGUCCCCACCUGCCUCACAGCUACCGAGGCAUCUCACGGCGGGGUUCCAAUUGUGUGCGCGUAUGGAUGCUCCUUUCCCCGCCGCCUUUCUAGCAACUAGUUGAUGUUAUGAUGCAUCGUUGGUCCGGUGUACGAUGGCGCCUGAUGCGAUUUAUGCGUCCGGAAGCCCUUUCAGCCUCCAGGCACGUCCCCACCUGCCUCACAGCCACCGACGCAUCUCACGGCGGGGGUCUAAUUGCGUGCGCGUAUGGAUGCUCCUUUCCCCGCCGCCUUUCUAGCAACUAGUUGAUGUUAUGAUGCAUCGUUGUUCCAGUGUACGACGGCGCCUGAUGCGAUUUAUGCGUCCGGAAGCCCUUUCAGCCUCCAGGCAUGUCCCCACCUGCCUCACAGCCACCGACGCAUCUCACGGCGGGGUUCAUAUUGCGUGCGCGUAUGGAUGCUCCUUUCGCCGCCUUUCCAGCAACUAGUUGAUGUUAUGAUGCAUCGUUGGUCCGGCGUACGACGGCGCCUGAUGCGAUUUAUGCGUCCGGAAGCCCUUUCAGCCUCCANNNNNNNNNNNNNNNNNNNNNNNNNNNNNNNNNNNNNNNNNNNNNNNNNNCUUUCCCCGCCGCCUUUCUAGCAACUAGUUGAUGUUAUGAUGCAUCGUUGGUCCGGUGUACGACGGCGCCUGAUGCGAUUUAUGCGUCCGGAAGCCCUUUCAGCCUCCAGGCAUGACCCCACCUGCCUCACAGCUACCGAGGCAUCUCACGGCGGGGUUCCAAUUGCGUGCGCGUAUGGAUGCUCCUUUCCCCGCCGCCUUUCUAGCAACUAGUUGAUGUUAUGAUGCAUCGUUGGUCCAGUGUACGACGGCGCCUGAUGCGAUUUAUGCGUCCGGAAGCCCUUUCAGCCUCCAGGCAUGUCCCCACCUGCCUCACAGCCACCGACGCAUCUCACGGCGGGGUUCCAAUUGUGUGCGCGUAUGGAUGCUCCUUUCCCCGCCGCCUUUCUAGCAACUAGUUGAUGUUAUGAUGCAUCGUUGGUCCGGUGUACGACGGCGCCUGAUGCGAUUUAUGCGUCCGGAAGCCCUUUCAGCCUCCAGGCACGUCCCCACCUGCCUCACAGCCACCGACGCAUCUCACGGCGGGGUUCCAAUUGUGUGCGCAUAUGGAUGCUCCUUUCCCCGCCGCCUUUCUAGCAACUAGUUGAUGUGAUGAUGCAUCGUCGGUCCGGUGUACGAUGGCGCCUGAUGCGAUUUAUGCGUCCGGAAGCCCUUUCAGCCUCCAGGCAUGUCCCCACCUGCCUCACAGCUACCGAGGCAUCUCACGGCGGGGUUCCAAUUGUGUGCGCGUAUGGAUGCUCCUUUCCCCGCCGCCUUUCUAGCAACUAGUUGAUGUUAUGAUGCAUCGUUGGUCCGGUGUACGAUGGCGCCUGAUGCGAUUUAUGCGUCCGGAAGCCCUUUCAGCCUCCAGGCACGUCCCCACCUGCCUCACAGCCACCGACGCAUCUCACGGCGGGGGUCUAAUUGCGUGCGCGUAUGGAUGCUCCUUUCCCCGCCGCCUUUCUAGCAACUAGUUGAUGUUAUGAUGCAUCGUUGGUCCGGCGUACGACGGCGCCUGAUGCGAUUUAUGCGUCCGGAAGCCCUUUCAGCCUCCAGGCAUGUCCCCACCUGCCUCACAGCCACCGAGGCAUCUCACGGCGGGGUUCCAAUUGUGUGCGCGUAUGGAUGCUCCUUUCCGCCGCCUUUCUAGCAACUAGUUGAUGUUAUGAUGCAUCGUUGGUCCGGCGUACGACGGCGCCUGAUGCGAUUUAUGCGUCCGGAAGCCCUUUCAGCCUCCAGGCAUGUCCCCACCUGCCUCACAGCCACCGACGCAUCUCACGGCGGGGUUCUAAUUGCGUGCGCGUAUGGAUGCUCCUUUCCCCGCCGCCUUUCUAGCAACUAGUUGAUGUUAUGAUGCAUCGUUG
rnacentral:lncRNA from 1 species